rnacentral:rRNA from 1 species
AUUGAACGCUCGCGGGAUGCUUUACACAUGCAAGUCGAACGGCAGCGCGGACUUCGGUCUGGCGGCGAGUGGCGAACGGGUGAGUAAUGUAUCGGAACGUGCCCAGUAGCGGGGGAUAACUACGCGAAAGCGUAGCUAAUACCGCAUACGCCCUACGGGGGAAAGCAGGGGAUCGUAAGACCUUGCACUAUUGGAGCGUCCGAUAUCGGAUUAGCUAGUUGGUGAGGUAACGGCUCACCAAGGCGACGAUCCGUAGCUGGUUUGAGAGGACGACCAGCCACACUGGGACUGAGACACGGCCCAGACUCCUACGGGAGGCAGCAGUGGGGAAUUUUGGACAAUGGGGGCAACCCUGAUCCAGCCAUCCCGCGUGUGCGAUGAAGGCCUUCGGGUUGUAAAGCACUUUUGGCAGGAAAGAAACGUCGCGGGCUAAUACCCCGUGGAACUGACGGUACCUGCAGAAUAAGCACCGGCUAACUACGUG